ACCCAAACCGUCCCGUGAGUAAAGUUUUCUCUGAGAUGACCGCAAACUUCCAUCUGUAGCAGACAGGCUCUCUGUGUCCUUCCAGUUUGUGCAUUGAACAUGCAUUGAAAAACAUGCAUUGAAGAGUUGAGGCUUUAUACAAUUCACAAUUUAUGCGGCUUCUUCAGGGACAGUCUUUAACGGAAGUGGCAUUUCUUUUGCAGGUAAGUCUGUGGGGGCCAAAAGGACAAUGAUCACUGCUGCAGGUCUGUACAUCUUCAGAGUAGAAACCUCUGAGCUGUGAGCUUUCAGUAGAGCCCUACCUCCAAGUGCGUGGAAGCUAACUUCAAACUCUCUGUGAAGAAACCCAUUGUUAAGGAUUUUAGGUGAAAUCUUCUCAUUGUCUUUCAUUUAAGCUGUGUUUGAUUAGACCAUCCUCGUCUCUGGGCAACACAUUAGAUUCCUGCACCACCACCUGGUCUCAUAAUAGCUGGUUGCUAUAAAACCAUGCAGCUGCAUAGGCCUGGGGUCCUUUCAAGGUUCUGUAGCCGAGUGCUGGUGCUCUCGAUUGCUGGAGAACUUGAGUGCAGUUAAACUAUGCUGGUUGCAUUUAUAGUAAAAAUCAACAAGGAAAACUAAUUACACUAAACCUAUGCAGCGUCUCAUUUAUUGUUCUGCUUAUUUUGUUUAUAAUGUUCUCUUUUAAAAAAUCCUUGUUUUUAGCUGGAAAGCAGUAGGAUUUGGCAGAAACAAGGAGCCUUCCAGCUUCUGACAAGGUUCUCUGCUUCCCCUCCUGCUCUCGCAGGCAUUGCUCAGUGAUCACUGGAGUGUCUACAUCAGUCCCAGCCUUGGCUCAACAUUGCAGAGGAGAGCCCUGUCCAGUGAAACUCCAGCUGUGCAAAAGUCAUCCACAGAGGGCUACAUGUGGAAGCCAAUGAACCAUCUGGGAAGUUUUUACAAUAAAACAGACCAUAGACGUUGGUAGCUUGGCCCAGGGUAGGCCACGGUGAAAUCUGGUCCAUGAGGGACCUAGAGACACUGAAAUCAUCCCAAGGAAGCUCUUCAGGGGCCAUAACACACGUGGAGCUAUCGUGACAACGUCUUCUCCAGACACCUCCUGACGGACCUGCAGGAGGAGCUUCUUAAGGAGGUAUCACUCUUCAGAAAUAUGUCCAUGGCAAACCAAUGUAUGUUUGCCUUCCCUUGCCUUGCCUUGCCUUGCCCUGCCCUG